rnacentral:rRNA from 1 species
AUGAUGGCAGAGAGGUCACACCCGUUCCCAUACCGAACACGGAAGUUAAGCUCUCUAGCGCCGAUGGUAGUUGGGACCUUGUCCCUGUGAGAGUAGGACGUUGCCAGGCU